UCAGAUAAGAAUUUGAUCCAUAAAUAAGUAAAAUAUUAGAAAAAAUUUUUAGAUGCAACCUGAGCAUUCUGGAGAAAAACUGUUCCCUUCCCUUUAUCCUACUCCUACAAUGAACCUACUGUCGCAAAUAUACACUAUAAGGAUCCAAAUAGCUAGGAGAUCAUGUUUAUGUGCAGUCAAACUAUAGCAACCCCACUGUGAGC
rnacentral:lncRNA from 1 species